AGCGGGAGGGUCCCGGAGUGACCGGAGGGCGCCAGCCUCCUGGCGGCCGUGUGCAGCCCGCCCGGGGUGGCGGGUAUCACCAGGAAGGGCAGAACAUGUCAGACCUGGAGCUGCUGUCACACAAGUAUUCAUUCCGUUUGAGUGAAUUCCACAAUCAAAGGCAUUAACAACGAACCCCAUCAACAAGCCCCGGUGACCAGCUUGGGAUACAAACUGAACAGUCAGGCCUCUGUGAUGCAACCCCACGUCUGCCAGAUGCCUGCCCAUAUCCCAACUGCCUUCCCUUCGGGAACCCUGCUUGCUUCUUCCUUCUGGAAGCACCAUGGCAUUCCUAGGAGCGCUCAGGUAAGAAGACCAGCACUGCCAGAGUACCAGUAAUGCGCAUGGUGGCUUGUCUGGAUUGCCAGCCCACUACGGGUGGCACCAUUCCCUGAGCAGGUGGUCCUGGGUUACAUAAGAAACCUAGCUAAGCACGCGCCCGUGAGUAAGCCAACCGGAGAGGGAAAACCAGCAAGCAGCAUUUCCCCACGGCUCCCUUGACUUCCUACUUGGCUUCCCGAAUGGUGGACUGUGUGACGGACACUCUUGGUUGUCAGCUUGACUACAUAAGACGGAAGGCACAACUGCGAGGGAUUCUUUUUCCUAUUUGAAGCAGGGUGAUGCACUUCUAAUCUGGGUCUUUGAGUUAGGAAGACCCACCUCUAAUCCGGGCCACACCCUCUGUUGGAAACCUGUGUGGGGACUUGGAAGAAGGAAGCUUUUGCUUUUUGCCUGCUUGUCCUCACCUUGCUGGCAUAGUCAUCCAGUCACUAGCACCAGAGUCUACUUCUUCGGGAUUCCAGCAGAUACUGAAGCCUUCCUUGUAGACUGAGCAACUACCAGAUUCCUGGACUUUCUGCUCACAGGCAGCCAUUGUUGGAUUAGCUGGACUAUAGCCUAAACAGGAUCUUUGCAGCACUGCUCGAGUUGUCUUCUGACUUCUGAGUGCCGGUGAUUCUGCUACAGCCUGAGUUGCUGGGAUUAGAGGUACAUGCCUGUCCCUGUGCUGGCCUGCUCUUCUGAUAUUUCAUGGGGAGCCUAAUUACAAGAGCAGUCUCUCUCCUGCCAUCUUCAAUGUUUUUAUUAAUCUUUGAAUUCGCACCCUCCAGUAAGCUAAAAAAAAGUCACUCAACUGUAGUUAAAAAAAACCAAGUUAAUCAGAACCUGAAGCUUCCUUCUCCUCUGGGGUCAAUUCCCUGAGCUCUGACUCCACGUCUGUCUUAGUCAAGGCUCCCAGAGUUUGUGAGUUUGUGACUUUGAGCAUUGGAAAGGGUGGACAGGCCAGGGAAAAUGAUGCUUGGAUUGGUAUUGUUCAUUGUUUCAGGUGUCUACCAAAAAGGCACUAGUGUUUCCAGGAAGAAAGUUCUGGAACAUUUUUGGCUUUGGAGAGGCCCUCUAGGCUCUCUACGCCUCACUGCCUGGUCUAGGAAGGGAAAACCGGCACAGCACACACAGGGCUGACCUUGGCUCAGAAGCAAGGAUCAAUCGGACAGCCCACAAGGUCAGCUUCUGGAAGUAUUCACCGGGGAGUGUCUGUCACGGUUUCUGGGAGUCUCAGGUUCCCAACAAGACUUGUUUCUUCCACAAAUGGAAAAGUACACACUGUCUGUGCAAAAGACCUACUGUGAAUGCUCACUGAAGGAAAAGUUAGAAUAAUGGAAAGGCACCAGUGUUUUCUGACCUAAUUUUCUAGAAUCACCUUACAGGGUUUCUCUGUAUUGUUUUGGAGGUUGUCCUAGAACUCGCUCUGUAGACCAGGCUGGCUUUGAAUUCACAGAGAUCCACCUGCCUCUGCCGACCCAGUGCUGGGAUUAAAGGCAUGCACCAACGCCCGACGGAGAAAAUGGUUUUAAGAAAAUGAACCUGGCAGCAUUAAGCUAAAUAAACAGUCACAAAUUUGUCCUUAAAGAGCAGACAAGUUUCCCAGGUCACAAAGUAAUAACAGUAAGUGGCCUGUGUUAAAUGCCAGAUAUCAUCCUGGCGGUGGUAGAGCAGGCCUUUAAUCCCAGUGUGAGGACUCAGGCAUUAUGCUGGCCUGUCCCUGUAACCUGGCAGAAUGCACUCAGGUAGUACCCUGGUCAGCCCAGGGUUCAUGGAGUACUAUUCUGCAUGCAGAUGCAAAGGAUCCUUUAAAAGAUAGACCCCCGCCCACUUAUGCUCUCUCUUUUCUGGGGCAGACAGGACUUUUCCUAUCUUCCUCUUCUCUUGUUCUCUCUGUCUCUCUCUCUCUCUCUCUUUACUUUUCUCUUCUAAUAAAAGUUCUCACUUAA